rnacentral:rRNA from 1 species
CAGUCGCCGCGGUAACACGUAGGGUGCGAGCGUUAAUCGGAAUUACUGGGCGUAAAGCGUGCGCAGGCGGUUCGUUAAGACAGAUGUGAAAUCCCCGGGCUCAACCUCGGAAUUGCCUUCAAUACUGGCGAUCUUGAGUAUGGAAGAGGUAUGUGGAACUCCGAGUGUAGAGGUGAAAUUCGUAGAUAUUCGGAAGAACACCAGUGGCGAAGGCGACAUACUGGUCCAUUACUGACGCUGAGGCUCGAAAGCGUGGGGAGCAAACAGGAUUAGAUACCCCGGUAGUCCCUGUCUCUUAUAC